GCUUUACCGUGUACUAGUUGGGGAAGUUUCUUAACACAUUUGAGCCUCAUUUUCCCCGUUUGUAAAGUGAGCAUCUUAACGCACAUAUUCAUAGCAUUGCUGCGGGGAUCAAAUGAGUUCACGCGUGAUGCAGCUGGCACAGCGUAUGGCACGCGGUGGUUGUGCAGUUGUGUUCCUUCCCUUUUUUCUACUAGGGGAUGUGCCUGGUUGAACACACCCGGGUCUUUUUUUGCAUACCGUGGCUCACCUGCAGUGAUUUUCCAGGAUGCUAGCUCCCCUUCCGCCCUCAUCUCCACUGCCCGUCUCGUCUCUUUCCCUUUUCGUUGCUGGUUUGAGAUGACUCCCUUCUUGGGGCACAUGAUGUUGGGAACUGCUAAUGAGACAGUAUACUUCCCAGACCAAGGGCCAGGGUCUGAAUGAGCGCUUUACUGGGAAGAGAGGAAAGAGCGUAGCCGUCCUGUGGCUCUUCACCUGCGGUUCGGCGCUGCUGGGACCCGGCACUUGGAGGCUGGAUGAACGUGGACUGCGGUGUGUGGAGGGAAAACUGUGAGCGUUCCUCUGCAGGUCGCUGCACUGAGAAGUACCGGUGAGAUUGUUGACGAUCGUAUGGAGAUUCCUUUCCAUUCUGAGAAGCCAAGGUAUUUUCGCCCGGUGGAGGAAUGACGUAGUUCCAUCCUAAUCUUGUCUUAUACUUGCAGAUCGCAUAUUCCUUGAAGAAAAGGAUCUUUAAAAAUUUCUUCUGUACUCUUACUGCAAGGAACAUUAUAAAUAUAUUGUAGAUGCUCAAGAAAUUGAAACUGAAUGUUAUUCUGUGCCCUCUGUGCCAUAGACGUACAAAAUGGGCAAGAUCCAGCCCUUGCUCUCAAAGUGCUUACAUUCUGUUAGGAGGAUGUCAAGUCCAUAAAAAUAUGUGAUCGGAGAUGGAGUAUGAUAUGAGCCAUGAGAAAGAUGAAAUCAAACUGCUUGGUGACUAAGCAGGAUGGAAUAUAGAGCAAUAAAGAAAAGCUUCAUGA
rnacentral:lncRNA from 1 species